rnacentral:tRNA from 1 species
GCCGGGGUGGCGAAACUGGUAGACGCAUCAGACUCAAAAUCUGACGGUAGUAAUACCGUGCCGGUUCAAAUCCGGCCCUCGGUACCA